rnacentral:rRNA from 1 species
GACGAACGCUGGCGGCGUGCUUAACACAUGCAAGUCGAACGGAAAGGCCCUGCUUGCAGGGUACUCGAGUGGCGAACGGGCGAGUAACACGUGGGUGAUCUGCCCUGCACUUCGGGAUAAGCCUGGGAAACUGGGUCUAAUACCGGAUAGGAGCCAUUUUUAGUGUGAUGGUUGGAAAGUUUUUUCGGUGUAGGAUGAGCUCGCGGCCUAUCAGCUUGUUGGUGGGGUAAUGGCCUACCAAGGCGGCGACGGGUAGCCGGCCUGAGAGGGUGGACGGCCACAUUGGGACUGAGAUACGGCCCAGACUCCUACGGGAGGCAGCAGGGGGGAAUAUUGCACAAUGGGCGCAAGCCUGAUGCAGCGACGCCGCGGGGGGGAUGACGGCCUUCGGGUUGUAAACUCCUUUCGCUAGGGACGAAGCUUUUUGUGACGGUACCUAGAGAAGAAGCACCGGCUAACUACGUG